AGUGAACGCUGGCGGUAGGCCUAACACAUGCAAGUCGAACGGCAGCACAGUAAGAGCUUGCUCUUACGGGUGGCGAGUGGCGGACGGGUGAGGAAUACAUCGGAAUCUACUUUCUCGUGGGCGAUAACGUAGGGAAACUUACGCUAAUACCGCAUACGACCUACGGGUGAAAGCAGGGGAUCUUCGGACCUUGCGCGAUUGAAUGAGCCGAUGCCGGAUUAGCUAGUUGGCGGGGUAAAGGCCCACCAAGGCGACGAUCCGUAGCUGGUCUGAGAGGAUGAUCAGCCACACUGGAACUGAGACACGGUCCAGACUCCUACGGGAGGCAGCAGUGGGGAAUAUUGGACAAUGGGCGCAAGCCUGAUCCAGCCAUACCGCGUGGGUGAAGAAGGCCUUCGGGUUGUAAAGCCCUUUUGUUGGGAAAGAAAAGCAGCAGGUUAAUACCCCGCUGUUCUGACGGUACCCAAAGAAUAAGCACCGGCUAACUUCGUG
rnacentral:rRNA from 1 species